ACUUUCGAUGGUAGGAUAGUGGCCUACCAUGGUGGCAACGGGUAACGGGGAAUUAGGGUUCGAUUCCGGAGAGGGAGCCUGAGAAACGGCUACCACAUCCAAGGAAGGCAGCAGGCGCGCAAAUUACCCAAUCCCGAUACGGGGAGGUAGUGACAAUAAAUACUGAUACGGGGCUCUUUUGGGUCUCGUAAUUGGAAUGAGAACAAUUUAAAUCCCUUAACGAGGAACAAUUGGAGGGCAAGUCUGGUGCCAGCAGCCGCGGUAAUUCCAGCUCCAAUAGCGUAUAUUAAAGUUGUUGCAGUUAAAAAGCUCGUAGUUGAACCUUGGGUCUGGCUGGCCG
rnacentral:rRNA from 1 species